CCUACGGGGGGCAGCAGUGGGGAAUAUUGCGCAAUGGGCGAAAGCCUGACGCAGCGACGCCGCGUGAGGGAUGAAGGUCUUCGGAUCGGAAACCUCUGUCAGCAGGGAAGAACGGUCACUGUGCUAAUCAGCAGUGAAUUGACGGUACCUGCAAAGGAAGCACCGGCUAACUCCGUGCCAGCAGCCGCGGUAAUACGGAGGGUGCGAGCGUUAAUCGGAAUUACUGGGCGGAAAGCGCUCGUAGGCGGUAUGUCAAGUCAAGGGUGAAAUCCCCGCGCUCAACGUGGGAACUGCCUUUGAAACUGGCAAACUGGAGUGUGUGAGAGGAUAGUGGAAUUCCAGGUGUAGGGGUGAAAUCCGUAGAUAUCUGGAAGAACAUCGGUGGCGAAGGCGACUAUCUGGCACAUAACUGACGCUGAGGAUCGAAAGCGUGGGUAGCAAACAGGAUUAGAUACCCUAGUAGUC
rnacentral:rRNA from 1 species